rnacentral:rRNA from 1 species
UACGUAGGGUGCGAGCGUUGUCCGGAAUUCUUGGGCGUAAAGAGCUCGUAGGCGGUCUGUCGCGUCGAUCGUGAAAACUUGGGGCUUAACCCUGAGCUUGCGGUCGAUACGGGCAUGACUGGAGUUCGGCAGGGGAGACUGGAAUUCCUGGUGUAGCGGUGAAAUGCGCAGAUAUCAGGAGGAACACCGGUGGCGAAGGCGGGUCUCUGGGCCGAUACUGACGCUGAGGAGCGAAAGCGUGGGGAGCGAACAGG